GAGUUUGAUCAUGGCUCAGGACGAACGCUGGCGGCGUGCUUAACACAUGCAAGUCGAACGAUGAUCCGGUGCUUGCACCGGGGAUUAGUGGCGAACGGGUGAGUAACACGUGAGUAACCUGCCCUUGACUCUGGGAUAAGCCUGGGAAACCGGGUCUAAUACCGGAUAUGACUUCUCACCGCAUGGUGGGGGGUGGAAAGAUUUUUUGGUUUUGGAUGGACUCGCGGCCUAUCAGCUUGUUGGUGGGGUAAUGGCCUACCAAGGCGACGACGGGUAGCCGGCCUGAGAGGGUGACCGGCCACACUGGGACUGAGACACGGCCCAGACUCCUACGGGAGGCAGCAGUGGGGAAUAUUGCACAAUGGGCGCAAGCCUGAUGCAGCGACGCCGCGUGAGGGAUGACGGCCUCGGUU
rnacentral:rRNA from 1 species